rnacentral:rRNA from 1 species
CCUACGGGAGGCAGCAGUAGGGAAUCUUCCGCAAUGGACGAAAGUCUGACGGAGCAACGCCGCGUGAGUGAUGAAGGGUUUCGGCUCGUAAAGCUCUGUUGUCAGGGAAGAACAAGUAUCGUUCGAAUAGGGCGGUACCUUGACGGUACCUGACCAGAAAGCCACGGCUAACUACGUGCCAGCAGCCGCGGUAAUACGUAGGUGGCAAGCGUUGUCCGGAAUUAUUGGGCGUAAAGCGCGCGCAGGCGGUUUCUU